AUCAGUAACUGAAGCAUAAAAUGUCUAUUACCUCUAAUAAAGUUCCCAACUGAUGCCUAAGAUAUUGCAACUUCCCGCCUUCAACUGAAAUAUGUGAUUUGAAAUGGACCUGUUACCUCAGUCCUUAACUACUCGAGGCAUAAAGGGUCAAUUAUCUCGAUUAAAGUGAGUAGCCGAUGUCUAAGGAUCUGUAACUUUUCACCAACCCUGCCUGUUUUCCUGACAGAAUGCUGAAAUUGGCCUCCUGCCUGUUUAUGCUUCGGUUUUCCAAAGAUCCGAGGCGUAUACUAUGGGUUUAGGCAUCGGUUUAGUAGAACACCUGAGGCAGUAGCUUGUUAUUACCUCGGUUCAUCCAAUAACUGAGGCAUUAUGCCUUUAUAUUUCCACCUCAAUGAAAUUCCCCUACGCGCACUUUUGUCUUCGACCAGAGCGACCUCCCCCUUCUUUCUCUUCGACCAGAGCGACCACCAAACGCCGUGGUCGGCCAUUGUUGUCUUAUCCGUGCAUCCACCGUCGUGCCGCCACAGUUCAUCCCCCUCCUUCGCCUCCAUUGUCUUCGGCGAAGCGCUGUCCAAGUUGGGUGGCUCGCUAACUGCAGGAGUAUUCUCUCCAAGCGCUGCUUCCGCCAUCGUUCCCGUCGCUCCACCGCCGCUCCGCUGCCUUUGCUGCUGUCCUUUGCUGCCACAAUAAGUUUUUAAAACCCUUUACAUUUUCAUUUGUCUGUGGUGAUUGAUAUUGGUUUGAAUGAAGAAAGGAAUGGCUUUGGUGCUUUUUGUUAUCUGCUCUCUGUUCCACUCUAAAACUGUUGCUCUCUAUGUUUAUUAUAAGAUUUAGUUUGUUGCAUUCCCAAAAACUGCUUUGGCUAAUUUGUUUAUUUGUCAACUUAUCAACUCCAUUUUUCUAAUUACUUCUAAUUAUAAUUAAAUUAAUANAAAUACUAAAAUUAAUUAGGAGAUAAAUAAAAAAAUUAGAUUGAGAGUGGUAAGUGGUUAAGAAAAUUAGGUAAAGAAGUAAGAGGUUAAUUUAAGAGGUUGGAACGAAUAGUAUGUUCUAACAAUGUGUGUGUAUGAUCACUGUCAAGGAACAAGAAACGAAUGAACAUGUCCCAGACGCCAAGAAAAGGUCCCAAUUGCAAGAAAAUCAUGAGUUUGGUAGCUUAGAUUUUGAUUCCCACUCAGACCGAGUUGUGAGUUAUCAUGGGAAGACUUAGUUAGGUUUGGUUUCAGAGACAGAGAGUUGAAUUUUGAUAUGCAAUGCAAUGGAAGUCGUUUUUCAUAUUAAAGUUUUUNGAACUUGUAAGUAAAGAUAGAUAGUAACUCUUUCCGAACUAUCUGUUCAUAUUAUGCAGUGGAAGUUUCUUAUAUUUAUUGUGUGAUGUGUUAAACUUUUUACUUUCUAAAAGUAUGAUAAGUGGUUUACUUAUUCUAUGGUUCCAAAAGAAAACAAAAUUAAAAAUAAUAAAAAUGAAAGCACAAGUUCAAUUAUUCAACUGAGGUGUUAAUCAACAAAAGAAGUCAUUCAAUUGGAAGGCCUGCCAUGAACAAAGCACCUGAUGUGAAAUUCAAUGUUAUUCAAGUUGAUGCUCAUCUAGUUAUUUCCUUAGUGGGUAUAUUGCUCAUAAGGAUACAUUUAGUUACAAAUAUAGCAGUACUUUUUAGUUAGAAAUUACAAAUGGAUUCAUUUAGUUAGUGACCUGGUAGCAUAUGACGCAACUUCACAACAAUGAUUUUGUUCAGUAUAUCAAGUAAAAUCAUUUUGCUAUUUUUUGAUUUUGAAUUACAGGAAAAGGCUAGCUUUCUUUGCAGGGGGAGUUAAUUCUCUAGUACGUGUAAAGCUUUUCAGCAAUUAGCAUUCACAUUCCCCAGUCUUAUCUUUAGGGUAGACUUUGUCAUGUGAAUUAUCCCAUGCCGGUGACAUCCUUUUUUCCAUUACCUUUGUUUUAUGUGGAAAUUACUGAGCCUUUUGCUUGUACUUUUUGCAGCUCAAAGAUGAAUGGACCUUGGAAUUCACAACAAUGGUUGGGAGGCGUCUUCGAGAUGCAGUGAAGACAGUGUUCUCACCACUAUGACCUUCCCUUCACUGAUGUAUUGAACUGGAAGAGCUUUUCAGUUGUUGUCACCACCUCAGAUAUCGCCCUCUCCAAUCUCUCCCUACCCUCCGAGUACGCUGUCGUCAUGGUCCUCUCCUGCCUCGCCCACGUCCUCUCCGCCAAAACCCUCGCUGCCCGCUACUCCCUCGAUCCCUACCUCGUCUCUAAAAUCACCAACAUGGUCACCCGACUCCUCGCUACGAACUUCAUCAAAAGACCCGUUGGCCGCCACCGCCUCCUCGAGACCACCCAGGCCUUUGAGGAACUCACAUCCCUCCCCAACAUCGACACCACCCUCGUCCACCUCCGCUCCACCCCCAACAGCCACCCAUUUCCGCGACAGCCUCCUCUACCACCACCUCACCUCCAGCGACAUCGUCUAGGACAAGGUCAUUAGCGUUCGUGGCCACCACGUGAGGCCUUACGUGGUCGGCGACUGGUGCUUCCCUCUGCUGUAAUUUCUCCUCAUCCCGUUCUCCCUCAUUGGGAUGAGCACCUGCGUAGAACUUGUUCAAUGGAAGGAAGGGAAGGUCCCGUGGUGGUGGAGGCAAUUAGGGGAAGAUACCGCCCCGGUUCCUUCAUAAACGAGGCGUAAAGUCCUAAAAAUAAAAAAAAAAUAAAAAAAAACCAAAAAAUACUACUGCAUCGGUUACCAUCCAACCGAGGCAAAAUCCUUCUCUUUUUUGCCUCGGUUCAAAACCGAGGCAUAAAGGGGUAGAUUUUCUACCUCGNCUGCAUAUGCCUCGGUUCUGGAACCGGUGCCUAUGUGCGAAAAUAACCGUUGUUGUUUCUCUUGACUGCACUAGUGUUAAUGACAAAUGUUUAUAAGUCCUGUGUUAGUGAUGUUUACAGUCUUCUUUUUAACAACUGCAGUUCUAUGCAAAUU